CCCCACUGCUAUCGGGAUGGGACUAAGACAUGCUAGUCGAGCGUCUCCAAGCUAUGGAAGAGACGCGGCACACAGCUCAGUAACACGUGGCUAACCUGCCCUUGGGACAAGGACAACUCCGGGAAACUGGGGCUAAUCCCUGAUAAGUGAGAACUCCUGGAAUGGAUUCUCGCUCAAAGGACGUUUAGACCAUGCUUCUAAGCGUCGCCCAAGGAGGGGGCCGCGACCGAUCAGGUUGUUGGUGAGGUAACGGCUCACCAAGCCUUUAACCGGUACGGGCCGUGAGAGCGGAAGCCCGGAGAUGGGCACUGAGACAAGGGCCCAGGCCCUACGGGGCGCAGCAGUCGCGAAAACUCCGCAAUACACGAAAGUGUGACGGGGCCAUCCCGAGUGCCAUCCGCUGAGGAUGGCUUUUCCCCAGUGUAUAAAGCUGGGGGAAUAAGGAGAGGGCAAGCCUGGUGUCAGCCGCCGCGGUAAUACCAGCUCUCCGAGUGGUGGGGAUGUUUAUUGGGCCUAAAGCAUUCGUAGCCUGCUUGGCAAGUCCUCCGUUAAAUCCAACGAUUCAAUCGUUGGGCUGCGGGGGAUACUGUCCGGCUAGGGGGCGGGGGAGGCCGACGGUAUCCUCGGGGUAGGGGUGAAAUCCUAUAAUCCCGGGAGGACCACCAGUGGCGAAGGCUGUCGGCUAGAACGCGCUCGACGGUGAGGGAUGAAAGCUGGGGGAGCGAACCGGAUUAGAUACCCGGGUAGUCCCAGCUGUAAACGAUGCAGGCUAGGUGUUGGCGCGGCUACGUGCCGCUCCAGUGCCGCAGGGAAGCCGUUAAGCCUGCCGCCUGGGAAGUACGGCCGCAAGGCUGAAACUUAAAGGAAUUGGCGGGGGAGCACCACAAGGUGUGAAGCUUGCGGUUU
rnacentral:rRNA from 1 species